rnacentral:rRNA from 1 species
GACUAACGCUGACGGUGUGCCUAAUCUAUGCAAGUUUUUGGAGAGUAGCUUCGGUUACAAUCCAAGGCAGACGAGAGAGUAACAUGUAGGAACCAACCCUUUAAUUGAGGAUAACCCCGAGAAAUCGGGGAUAAUACUCGAUAGUCUCUACGGAGUAAAGCUUCGGUGCUAAAGGACGGGCCUGCAUCCUAUCAGCUAGUUGGUGAGGUAAUUGCUCACCAAGGCAAUGACGGGUAGGGGGCGUGAGAGCGUGUUCCCCUCGAUGGCACUGAGAUACGGGCCAUACAUCUACGGAUGGCAGCAAGUAGGAAUAUUGCGCAAUGGUCGCCUUUGGCGACUGACGCAGCGACACCGUGUGAAGGAAGAAGGCUUUCGGGUUGUAAACUUACGUUAAGAAGGGGCGGCUAACUUCGUGCCAGCAGCAGCGGUAAUACGGGGGCCCCAAGCGUUGUCCGGUUUUAUUGGGCGUAAAGAGUUCUGUAGGCGGUUUUGUAAGUUACGGGUUAAAUCCUCCGGCUCAACCGGAGACAUGCUUGUAAUACUGCAUAACUAGAGAUAGACAGGGGAGAGUAGAGCGCAUGGUGUAGUGGUGGAAUACGUUGAUAUCAUGCGGAAUACCGAAGGCGUAGGCAGCCCUCUGGGUCUAUUCUGACGCUGAGAGACGAAAGCGUGGGGAGCAAAACGGAUUAGAUACCCGUGUAGUCCACGCCGUAAACGAUGUUCACUAGAUCCGUGUUCUCUAUUUGAGGAUGCGAGUCGCAGCUAACGCAUUAAGUGAACCGCCUGGGAAUUACGGCCGCAAGGCUAAAACUCAAAGGAAUUGACGGGGACCCGCACAAGCGGUGGAGCGCCUGCUUUAAUUCGAUGUUAAGCGAAGAACCUUACCGAGGUUUGACAUGCUACUGCAUCCGUUACGAAAGUAAUGGAGUCCUUCGAGGGUGUGGCACAGGUAUUGCAUGGCUGUUGUCAGCUCGUGUCGUGAGAUGUACCG